AUGAGAGGAUGAGGUGGCAAAAUGAUUUUAUUAUGCCAUUUAAAAAUGGGAAGUGAUUUACCAUACAACUUAAAUAUUUUGACUAUCAUUACAGCAACUCUGUAAGUAAUUAAUUCUGGCACCAUACUUUACAAAGAGCUUUGACAAAUUGGAGCCCAUCCAGAGGAGAACACACUAUCCUGUGAAGGGUCUGGAAACUACAACUUGUAAGGAAUGAUGCAAAGAGAUGAAGGAAUCAUUGUAACAUAACAAUGGUCAGGAAGUCCCCUGCUCCCAUGCCCAGAAUUGACCUACAGUCCUCAACCCAAUAAUCUCAAGCCCAGAUGAUUACCACUCACAUGGAAGGGAAUCCAGAGGCAACAAGGAAGGAGUGCAAAAACUAAUAAUAAUAAUAAAAGAAACCAUCAAGCCCACCUUUCCAUUGCAGAGUUUCAGCCAGAACUGAGAUGGGAUGAAUAAAAUGAGAACAGCUUGCAUAUUGAAGUACAUAUUAAAGUUUGUAUAUUUUACAAAGGAUUCUUCCUUAUUCCUUUUCUAUUUAUCCAAACCCCACCUACUCUUGUUUUAUUACUUGG